GGAGGUGUAAGAAAAAAUCAUAGUUCAGAGGUAGAUGCAAUUAUCCAAACAAGAGGGAUUUUUUCGUAAAUUGACCAUGCCUCAGGGGUGGUUGUAAUUUACCCUUAAGUAAAUUAUACCAUCGAUCAUGAAUAUCAAUUAUACAUAUAGAAUAACGUAAAAUAUCCACAAGAUCGCCGAGCUUUAUUUACGACUCAAUUAGCCCGAGGAUCGCCUAUAGCAAGUCAACAAUGAAAAGCAUCGAAAAAAUAAUAUAAGCUAAACUUCAAUAUAUAAUGCCAAACAUGUCAUUACGAAAAACGACCACAAACGAAAAGACUUUCCGACAUUUCAAAAUAUUUUAGACGAGACAAACAAGAAUCUACAUAUAGAAAUUAACAAUAUACUAGCCUUGGCAAAGAGGAAUAUUCCCAACCGAUUCUUCUUGUUCCGAGGGCUUUACUUAUUUGCAGUUGCAGCAGCUUCAAGAGCAUCGAGACGAGCAUUGAUUUGCUUCUGGGCUUCGAGUAUAUCUCGAAGAAUGGCGUCAUUCCCCACACCACCACAUCUAACACUAACCACUCUGUGUUGACGAACGACUGCAUCGAUACGAGUAACUAUUUCAUAUCCACGAUCGAGAUCGUCAUCGGCCAUAUUUACGACCACGAACUGCAGAAAAUUCAUUUCAAGGUGAAUGAAUACUUACAUUUUAAAAUAAAAUAACAUAUCUUUAGAACAAAAUUAAAAAAAUAAUAAUCAGGAUAAUCUCAAGCCAAAUUUUGAUAUUUUAGGGAAAAAAAAUUCCUUUUUUUUUUUCUCUUGAUUUUUUUCGUAAUUAUACACUACAUUCUAUGGAUUCAUAAUUUCACAACAAGAAAUCAAGAAUACUUUUUUACCCUUUCAUGCUAAAAUAAUGGACUUCAAAUUCUAGGCCAGGCUAAUUUUUUUACACGCAAUACAAAAUGUGUGUGUGUGUGUGUUCGAUUGUGUGUGGAAAAGGUUAGGGAGUCGAAAGAAGAACAAGAAACCCCAAAAAAUUACCUUAACGGUGGCGAGGCGGCGGCGUUGCAGAGACGAACUGAAGAAGUGGCGGUGCAGUAAAAACAACGAAAAUUGACCGAGAUAACAAUGAAGAUGAAAUUAGGGUUUAUUAGUUACUAGAGGUAACGCCUCCGGUAGCCUGGUUCAUUAAAUACUUCUAUUUAAGCGAUUUCAGGUCAAACUGUAAGUAACCGGAGCUUCCCACACCGUCGAAGGGGUGAGCUAAAAAAAACCGCGAAAACCGAAUUGAAAACCCAAAAAGCGG
rnacentral:lncRNA from 1 species